UACGGGAGGCAGCAGUGGGGAAUAUUGCACAAUGGGCGAAAGCCUGAUGCAGCUAUGCCGCGUGUAUGAAGAAGGCCUUAGGGUUGUAAAGUACUUUCAUCGGGGAGGAAAAACAAAACUAAUAAUUUUAUUUCUUGACGUUACCCGAAAAAGAAGCACCGGCUAACUCCGUGCCAGCAGCCGCGGUAAUACGGAGGGUGCUAGCGUUAAUCAGAAUUACUGGGCGUAAAGAGCACGUAGGUGGUUUUUUUAAGUCAAGAUGUGAAAUCCCUGGGCUUAACCUGGAACUGCAUUUUGAAACUGAAAUACUAGAGUAUCGUAGAGGGAGGUAGAAUUCUAGGUGUAGCGGUGAAAUGCGUAGAUAUCUGGAGGAAUACCUGUGGCGAAAGCGGCCUCCUAAACGAAUACUGACACUGAGGUGCGGAAAGCGUGGGGAGCGAAACAGGGAUUAGAUACC
rnacentral:rRNA from 1 species